CUUAGCAACGAAACCACUACCACACUAAAACUGAUACAGAAAAGAUGAGCAUGGCCCCUGCACAAGGAUGGUACCAGGCUCCUGAGCCAGUCCAUAUCCUU
rnacentral:snRNA from 1 species